AGCAGCCACCUUUAAGAAAGCGUUAAAGCUUCAUUAUAUUUUAUAAAAAUUUCGCUAAUUUUCUAAAACCCUUAACCUGUACUGAAUGGUCUCAUGACUUCAUGAGAGUCUAUAUGUUAGAACUAGUAACAAGAAGAAGCCCUUCUCCAAAAUGUAAGCAUGAGCCAAAAUGAACUAUUCAUUGGCAUUUAAAGUUAAUAAUCUUCUAGUAGUAACUGCUCAAGAAAAAUCUACUAUUCUUAACGUCAACCUUACACCAGCACAUUUCUGGAAAGAUUAAAAGACUAGGAAGGAACUCGGCAAACAAUUAACCCCGCCUGUUUACCAAAAACAUCGCCUCCUGAUUUUUAUAGGAGGUCUAGCCUGCCCAGUGACAAAGUUAAACGGCCGCGGUACCCUAACCGUGCAAAGGUAGCGCAAUCACUUGUUCUUUAAAUGAGGACUAGUAUGAACGGCAUCACGAGGGUUAUGCUGUCUCCCUACUUUAUUCAGUGAAACUGAUCUCCCCGUGAAGAAGCGGGGAUAAAAAUAUAAGACGAGAAGACCCCAUGGAGCUUUAAACUCAGUGUCAACUGCUAUGUUUAAAACCUAAUAUACAAGCAAUUUCUGACUACUAGUUUUCGGUUGGGGUGACCACGGAGUAAAACCUAACCUCCACGAUGAAAGGAAAUAACAACCUAAAUUAAGAGCUACAACUCUAAAUAUCAAUAAAUUGACUGAUUGAUCCAAUUAAUUGAUCAACGAACCAAGUUACCCUGGGGAUAACAGCGCAAUCCAUUUCAAGAGCUCCUAUCGACAAAUGGGUUUACGACCUCGAUGUUGGAUCAGGGUAUCCCAGUGGCGCAGCUGCUACUAAUGGUUC
rnacentral:rRNA from 1 species